UACGGAGGGAGCUAGCGUUGUUCGGAAUUACUGGGCGUAAAGCGCACGUAGGCGGCUUUUUAAGUCAGGGGUGAAAUCCCGGGGCUCAACCCCGGAACUGCCCUUGAAACUGGAAGGCUAGAAUCUUGGAGAGGCGAGUGGAAUUCCGAGUGUAGAGGUGAAAUUCGUAGAUAUUCGGAAGAACACCAGUGGCGAAGGCGACUCGCUGGACAAGUAUUGACGCUGAGGUGACGAAAGCGUGGGGAGCAAACAGG
rnacentral:rRNA from 1 species